rnacentral:rRNA from 1 species
CCUACGGGAGGCAGCAGUGGGGAAUAUUGCACAAUGGGGGAAACCCUGAUGCAGCGACGCCGCGUGAGUGAAGAAGUAUUUCGGUAUGUAAAGCUCUAUCAGCAGGGAAGAAGAGAGACGGUACCUGAGUAAGAAGCCCCGGCUAACUACGUGCCAGCAGCCGCGGUAAUACGUAGGGGGCAAGCGUUAUCCGGAUUUACUGGGUGUAAAGGGAGCGUAGACGGCUGAACAAGUCUGGAGUGAAAUCCCGGGGCUCAACCCCGGAGCUGCUCUGGAAACUGUAUAGCUAGAGUACUGGAGAGGCAGGAGGAAUUCCUAGUGUAGCGGUGAAAUGCGUAGAUAUUAGGAGGAACACCAGUGGCGAAGGCAGCUUACUAAACUGUGACUGACAUUGAUGCUCGAAAGUGUGGGUAUCAAACAGGAUUAGAUACCCCAGUAGUC